ncrna:unclassified sequences S4-Clostridia ribosomal protein leader
GAAAGGGCAUGAUACCGAACAUGCCUGGGACAUGGAGAUGUGUCCCCUAUUAAA